UACGUAGGGGGCAAGCGUUAUCCGGAUUUACUGGGUGUAAAGGGGGCGCAGACGGCAGCGCAAGCCAGGAGUGAAAGCCCGGGGCCCAACCCCGGGACUGCUCUUGGAACUGCGCGGCUGGAGUGCAGGAGGGGCAGGCGGAAUCCCUGGUGUAGCGGUGAAAUGCGUAGAUAUCAGGAGGAACACCGGUGGCGAAGGCGGCCUGCUGGACUGCGACUGACGUUGGGGCCCGAAAGCGUGGGGAGCAAACAGG
rnacentral:rRNA from 1 species